CUAUACAUGCAGUCGAGCGGAUUGAUGGGAGCUUGCUCCCUGAAAUCAGCGGCGGACGGGUGAGUAACACGUGGGUAACCUGCCUGUAAGACUGGGAUAACUCCGGGAAACCGGGGCUAAUACCGGAUAUUUCUUUUCCUCGCAUGAGGAAAAGUGGAAAGGUGGCUUUUUGCUACCACUUACAGAUGGACCCGCGGCGCAUUACCUAGUUGGUGAGGUAACGGCUCACCAAGGCAACGAUGCGUACCCAACCUGAAAGGGUGAUCGGCCACACUGGGACUGAAACACGGCCCAAACUCCUACGGGAGGCAGCAGUAGGGAAUCUUCCGCAAUGGACAAAAGUCUGACGGACCAACGCCGCGUGAGUGAUGAAGGUUUUCGGAUCGUAAAGCUCUGUUGUUAGGGAAAAACAAGUGCCGUUCGAAUAGGUCGGCACCUUGACGGUACCUAACCAAAAAGCCACGGCUAACUACGUGCCACCACCCGCGGUAAUACGUAGGUGGCAAGCGUUGUCCGGAAUUAUUGGGCGUAAAGCGCGCGCAGGCGGUCUCUUAAGUCUGAUGUGAAAGCCCACGGCUCAACCGUGGAGGGUCAUUGGAAACUGGGGGACUUGAGUACAGAAGAGGAAAGUGGAAUUCCACGUGUAGCGGUGAAAUGCGUAGAUAUGUGGAGGAACACCAGUGGCGAAGGCGACUUUCUGGUCUGUAACUGACGCUGAGGCGCGAAAGCGUGGGGAGCAAACAGGAUUAGAUACCCUGGUAGUCCACGCCGUAAACGAUGAGUGCUAAGUGUUAGAGGGUUUCCGCCCUUUAGUGCUGCAGCUACGCAUUAGCACUCCGCCUGGGGAGUACGGUCGCAAGACUGAACUCAAGGAUGACGGGGCCCGCACAAGCGUGAGCAUGUGUUUAUCGAGCAACGCGAGACCUUACAGUUAUGACAUCUCUGACAUCUUAGAG
rnacentral:rRNA from 1 species